rnacentral:lncRNA from 1 species
GCCCUUCACCCUUUCUCUUUUAUUUUGUCACGCAAAACCAACCUCAAUGCCCCAAAAAGAUAAGAAUUGAUCCAAACUAAACCCAAAUCAAAUUUGAAUAGGUUUGAAUUAAUUCUUAUCAGCAAAGGAGUCCCAAUAAGAAGGGGAGGCUCCAACUUGUGCCUCCUCUCCUCUUCAUGUGCAAGAAGAGAAGGGGCAUGACUUUCAGUGCCCCUCUCUCCUCUUGGUCAGCU